UGAAGUAAGUAAGGGCGUACGGUGAAUGCCUUGGUGCCAACAGGCGAAGAAGGACGCGGCAAGCUGCGAAAAGCCUCGGGAAGCUGCAAGCAAGCGAUGAUCCGGGGAUAUCCGAAUGGGGUAACCUGAUCGAGGCAAUACUCGAUCGUUCAUACCUGAAUACAUAGGGUAUGAAACGCGAAACCCGCUGAAGUGAAACAUCUCAGUAAGCGGAGGAAAAGAAAGAGAAAUCGAUUCCGUAAGUAGUGGCGAGCGAAAGCGGAUGGAGCCCAAACCGAAGGUAUUCCUUCGGGGUUGUAGGACCACGUCAUAUUCGACCAUACUGGAUAGUAGAACAGCCUGGAAAGGCUGGCCGGAGAAGGUGAAAGCCCUGUAGACGAAAUCCAGAGUGGGAAUUAGUGGUAUCCUGAGUAAUACAUCACACGUGGAACGAUGUAUGAACCCGCGCGGACCACCGCGCAAGGCUAAAUACUAGUUGGCGACCGAUAGUGAACAAGUACCGCGAGGGAAAGGUGAAAAGAACCGCUGUGAGCGGAGUGAAAUAGAACCUGAAACCGUAUGUCUACAAAGUGUCAGAGCAGAGCAAUCUGCGAUGGCGUGCCUUUUGUUUAAUGAGUCUGCGAGUCAGUGUUUGUGGCAAGACUAAGGGCUUCCGGCCCGGAGUCGCAGCGAAAGCAAGUCCGAACAGGGCGCAAUAAGUCGCAGGUACUGGACCCGAAGCGGAGGUGACCUACCCUUGGCCAGGUUGAAGCAUGGGUAAAACCAUGUGGAGGACCGAACAGGUGAACGUUGAAAAGUUCUCUGAUGAGCUGAGGGUAGGAGUGAAAGGCUAAUCAAACCCCGUGAUAGCUGGUUCUCUUCGAAAUGCAUUUAGGUGCAGCGUCACGUGCUGAUGCGCGGGGGUAGAGCACUGACAAGGCUAGGGGGCACACCCGCUUACCAAACCUUAUCAAACUCCGAAUACCGUGCAAUGGAACGUGGCAGUGAGACAGUGGGGGAUAAGCUUCAUUGUCGAGAGGGAAACAACCCAGACCAGCAGCUAAGGUGCCUAAAUAACGCUCAGUGGAAAGGAUGUGGGAUUACACAGACAGUGAGGAUGUUGGCUUAGAAGCAGCCACCAUUUAAAAAAUGCGUAAUAGCUUACUCAUCGAGUGAUCCUGCGCCGAAAAUGAUUGGCGAUCAAGCGUUAUACCGAAGCUCUGGACUUUGCCGCAAGGCAGAGUGGUAGAAGAGCGUUGCAUGCGCGUCGAAGGGCGAUGGCGACUGACCCUGGAGCACAUGCAAGUGAGUAUGCAGACAUGAGUAACGUUAAGCCGGGUGAAAUCCCCGGCCGCCGUAAACCCGAGGUUUCCAGGGCAACGUGUUUCGUCCCUGGGUUAGCCGGGACCUAAGCCGAGGCCGAGAGGCGUAGGCGAUGGACAUCAGGUUAAUAAUCCUGAGCUCGCAACCCUUAAACUGGGGGGACGCAUGAGAAAAGAUGACUAGGUUAUUGAAUUCCGAGUUGAGUCUACGGACUCAGCGCAUCAUUGGAUCGAGUGCCAAGAAAAGCCCCAGCGUAUGCUAAGCGACCCGUACCGCAAACCGACACAGGUGGGUGGGUAGAACAUACCGAGGCGAUCGGGUCAACCAUGGUCAAGGAACUCGGCACAAUGGCCCCGUAACUUCGGGAGAAGGGGUGCCCGCGCGUACGUGAACGGACUUGCUCCGGGAGCGGAGGCGGGCCGCAGUGGAGAGGCCCAAGCGACUGUUUACCAAAAACACAGGACUCUGCAGAAGCCGCAAGGCGACGUAUAGGGUCUGACGCCUGCCCGGUGCCGGAAGGUCACGCGGAGGAGUUAGCGCAUCGCGCGAAGCCCCGAAGCCAAGCCCCGGUAAACGGCGGCCGUAACUAUAACGGUCCUAAGGUAGCGAAAUUCCUUGUCGGGUAAGUUCCGACCUGC
rnacentral:rRNA from 1 species